UGCAAGUCGUACGAGGAAGGUUCCUUCGGGAGCUGAGUAAAGUGGCGAACGGGUGAGUAACGCGUGGGUAACCUGCCCUUGAGUGGGGAAUAACCUUGGGAAACCGGGGCUAAUACCGCAUGACAUCACGAGAGCCUUGGCUUUUGUGAUCAAAGGUGGCGCGGUUUGACCGCUAUCGCUCAAGGAGGGACCCGCGUCCCAUUAGCUUGUUGGUGGGGUAACGGCCUACCAAGGCUACGAUGGGUAGCCGGCCUGAGAGGGUGUCCGGCCACACUGGAACUGAGACACGGUCCAGACUCCUACGGGAGGCAGCAGUGGGGAAUAUUGGGCAAUGGGCGAAAGCCUGACCCAGCGACGCCGCGUGGGUGAUGAAGGCCCUUGGGUCGUAAAACCCUGUCAUGCGGGACGAAAGACCUGGGCUCUAACAUAGCUCGGGUUUGACGGUACCGCAGGAGGAAGCCCCGGCUAACUCCGUGCCAGCAGCCGCGGUAAUACGGAGGGGGCGAGCGUUAUUCGGAAUUAUUGGGCGUAAAGGGCAGGUAGGCGGCUUUGUAUGUCCUCUGUGAAAGCCCUCAGCUCAACUGAGGAAUUGCAGGGGAAACUGUAGAGCUUGAGUCCGGGAGAGGCUAGUGGAAUUCCCAGUGUAGCGGUGAAAUGCGUAGAUAUUG
rnacentral:rRNA from 1 species